rnacentral:rRNA from 1 species
UACGUAGGGGGCUAGCGUUGUCCGGGAAUCAUUGGGCGUAAAGCGCGCGUAGGCGGCCCGGUAAGUCCGCUGUAAAAGUCAAAGGCUCAACCUUUGAAUGUCAGUGGAUACUGCCGGGCUAGAGUCCGGAAGAGGCGAGUGGAACUCCUGGUGGUAGCGGUGGAAUGCGCAGAUAUCAGGAAGAACACCAACGGGCGGAAGGCAGCUCGCUGGGACGGUACUGACGGCCUGGAGGCGCGAAAGCGUGGGGAGCGAACAGG